rnacentral:lncRNA from 1 species
AACUAAAAACUCCAGGCCUAUCCACUGCCAGGGGGUUUUCAAAGAAGAGACCCAUGCCUGGGUUUCCCAUGUGCAAGAUCUGCAGCUGUUCUUAGCAGCCAACAUCCAUCUCGGGGAUCUUGAGGGACACUGAGGGUGCUGGGAUGACAGGCCUGUUGCAGCAUGUCUUGUUUCCAUGGUGAUGGAGACUGAACCCAGGGCUUUGUGCAUGCCAGGCAAGCACUCUACCAUCUCUCUUCUUUCAGAGCUUUGGUUUACUUGUCUUGGACUUUACAGAUGGGACCAACAAUACAUCCCAUAAUACAUGCAUGAACCCAGGACCACCUGCCCCAGGCUGUCACUGCCCAGAGUGGACUGGGCCCUCCUAUGUCAAUCAUUAAUCAAGAGAAGGAGCUUGGGGCUAUUUGGAGAAUUAAAUAUCCAAGUUGC